GAUACAACAUCAUAAUAUUUGGUGGUGUGGAUGGUUAUUCCAGGAAGGUGAUGUACUUGAAUGCAGCAAAUAAUAACCAGGCAUCUACAGCUACUACUAUUUCUCAGAAGCAGUUCAGAAAUUUGGUUCACCAUCAAGGGUGAGAGGAGACCAAGGAGUGGAAAAUGUGCAGAUAUCCAGGUACAUGUUCUCUUCAAGAGGUGCUGACCGGGGAAGUUUCACAGCCGGUUAAAGUGUCCAUAAUCAAAGGUAAAGUACAAUUGUCUGCAAUUUCUAAAAUAUCAAUUAUUUAAAACUUUUAUUUUCAGCAACCUAUACUGCCUGUCGAAAUACUUGAGAGUUUUUGACUGGAUAUUUUGCAGUGAUUAGUUUCUGGCUUUUUAUUUUUAUAACCUUUAAAGAUGCAGUGUGUAGAGUUUUAUUUCUUAAACAACCAUUCUGAAACAUGUAUCCCAUGCUCAUAUUCUUGGAUGGAAACGUAACAAAUUAUGAUAUAUUUAUUUUUUUGACCAGUACAUCUGUAGGCAGCUUUUCAGUGUCGCUGAAGUAACUAAAUAUUUUACAUUCAAAAAUAAUAAUUAAUCUCAGCUGUAUUAUCUGCACUGUUUUAUUUAACACUUUAAAAAGAACAAAACAAA